CGACGUGUAGCUCAGCAGUAGAGCGCCGGGCUCUGGACCCGGAGGGCGCGGGGGCGGCACCCGCCACGUCGGCUA
rnacentral:tRNA from 1 species